AAGCCGCGUGGCUCUGGAGGCGCUGGCCGCGCGGCUUUCGAGGAGGUGCUACUGCUCCGGCGGAUGCCGCCGGGGAACCGUUCCGGGUCGGUUGCGGUUGG
rnacentral:tRNA from 1 species